rnacentral:misc_RNA from 1 species
GAGCAAAAGUCUCCUGAUAAUCUACUCCAUAUGUCUGAGUGAAACAUUUAACCACUAACCUAACCUUAUACCUUUCAAUGAAACCAUAUGCCUUAUGUUUAACUGUGAACACCCACUUACAUCUCACUAGUUUCUUGCCCAAUGAAAGAGAAAAAAGCUCCUAUAUUUCAUUUUUUGCCAAAGCUCUCAUCUCCUCUAUCAUAGCUACCUUCUAUUUAGGAUCAUGAUGUACUUUCUUCCAAUCCGAGUCACUCUUAGAAUAAAU